AUUGAACGCUGGCGGCAGGCCUAACACAUGCAAGUCGAAUGGUAACAGGAAACAGCUUGCUGUUUCGCUGACGAGUGGCGGACGGGUGAGUAAUGUCUGGGAAACUGCCUGAUGGAGGGGGAUAACUACUGGAAACGGUAGCUAAUACCGCAUAACGUCGCAAGACCAAAGAGGGGGCCUUCGGGCCUCUUGCCAUCAGAUGUGCCCAGAUGGGAUUAGCUAGUAGGUGGGGUAACGGCUCACCUAGGCGACGAUCCCUAGCUGGUCUGAGAGGAUGACCAGCCACACUGGAACUGAGACACGGUCCAGACCCCUACGGGAGGCAGCAGUGGGGAAUAUUGCACAAUGGGCGCAAGCCUGAUGCAGCCAUGCCGCGUGUAUGAAGAAGGCCUUCGGGUUGUAAAGUGCUUUCAGCGGGGAGGAAGGGAGUAAAGUUAAUACCUUUGCUCAUUGACGUUACCGGAAGAAGAAGCACCGGCUAACUCCGUG
rnacentral:rRNA from 1 species